rnacentral:rRNA from 1 species
AUUGAACGCUGGCGGCAUGCUUUACACAUGCAAGUCGAACGGCAGCGCGGGCUUCGGCCUGGCGGCGAGUGGCGAACGGGUGAGUAAUACAUCGGAACGUGCCCAGUAGUGGGGGAUAGCUCGGCGAAAGCCGGAUUAAUACCGCAUACGACCUGAGGGUGAAAGCGGGGGAUCUUCGGACCUCGCGCUAUUGGAGCGGCCGAUGGCGGAUUAGCUAGUUGGUGGGGUAAAGGCCUACCAAGGCGACGAUCUGUAGCUGGUCUGAGAGGACGACCAGCCACACUGGGACUGAGACACGGCCCAGACUCCUACGGGAGGCAGCAGUGGGGAAUUUUGGACAAUGGGCGAAAGCCUGAUCCAGCAAUGCCGCGUGUGUGAUGAAGGCCUUCGGGUUGUAAAGCACUUUUGGCGGGAACGAAAAGGACUGUGCCAAUACCACGGUUCGAUGACGUUACCCGCAGAAUAAGCACCGGCUAACUACGUG